GGGGGAAGACAUGCAGGAAAUCUUCACAGGUAGGAUUCAAACCGUGGACCUCUGCGUCGAGGCAUAAACCUCUAUGUUUAUGUGCGCCUGUUCUACCCACUGAGUCAACCCGGCCACUAAAUUAAAAUGAGUUGUGUUCUC